GAAAAACUCAAUGCUGUGCCUUCAACUUAGCUUCUCUAUUUUUUGGAGAAGGGUUUAUAGGGGAAGCAGAGAAAGAGAUGAGAGACCAAAGUUUCUAGGGCCUUUAUCUCCAGAGCAGAGGGUCUCAAACCUUAGUGAGCAAAAACUGAUCCAGAAGACUUGUUGGAGGCAUAGCUUCCAGUUCAGCGAGCCGUUUCAGCAGAUUGGAGGUGGGCCCAGGGCUCUGCAUUUUCCCAGCUCUCUGGGGGAUCCAGAUGCAGGUAGUCUGUGAUCGCAAGGGGAUGCUGCUCUUCCACAGUGGGCCUGGAGAACCAGAACUGGCAACUGCCUGGCCCCAGAGCUGCCGGCCAUGGGGCGGGUCCACCAGAGACUGAUGGAGGAAAGAGGAAGAAGAAAGGGAAGGGAACAGGGAACCUCAGAGAGGAUUAGGGUGGGAAAUGGAAAAAGAGAAAAUCCAAGGUGUACAAAAGAGAAAAGGGAUGCCUCUCUAAGGAGGCCAGCGAGUAUUAGCGGAGGUGCUAGGGCCACUCAGGCUGACUGAUGUCCAUGUGUUAGCCACGGACAUUGAAAGAUUUUUGGUCUUUCAAACUUGAGGACUUGCCUAACCAAGCACAGAGCAAAGAACAGAAAGCUGACUUUGCUAGAUGCUUGGGCAUCAAUAUCACGUGGAACCAGCCUUUUCUUUGAUACCUCUUGCGUUUCUUGCAGAUUCCCUGCCUGCAGCACGUGCUGAUCUCCAAGGGUGAGGCUGGAUGAAGCCAGGGGCUAUGGAAAAGGAGACUGUUUCAGAGGACUUGACACCAUCUUCAGUAAUUUCUCUGGUUCUUGGCAGCUCCAUUUGGCUGCGUCCCUACCCUGCAUAACCCUCCCAGCUAGUCUACUGCAGGGCAGCGUCCAGCUGGUGACCUGAGAGGGCAGCGGCGCACCAGUCUCCAUGAAGGUUGAGCUCCGAUGGCCAACAGCAAUUUCCACCUUGUGGUCUACAACUCUUCAUCCCGACUGCAUGGAGAUUGGUCUCUCUCUUCAGCUGGAUUUAGGCCACCAUCUGAGCCCCCGGGGUACGUUUUUUCUGACCCUGGCACCAUUCGGUUCUUCUACAGCAUCAGAGAACCUGGCUGCGAGUCCCUGCCUUUACCAUGGAGGCUGAAGGUGUGGGGAGGGACUUCAGCCUGCUCCUCAGCCCUGCCCUGUCUCUGAGACAAGGAGCACCCCUGGCACCGCAGUGAGAUCUCUGCCCUGCCAGCAGGCAGAGCCCAGGCACAGUCCUUUGCCCCAUCUCUUCUUCCCUCUAGUAUUCAAGGUGGCUUACUUUGAAUCCAUUCUUCCUAUCAGGUCAUUGUUCCUUAUCCUCAUUAAAUCUGUGCAUUCACCUGGCUCCUAGGGCUUUUGUGCUGUGGGCCUAUAUUUCCAGCUACUUUUGGAAAAAAUCUCUCUGGAGGCUCAAUGAGCUUGUCACAUCAGCCUGUCCAGAGAUCAAGAAAGACUUAAUCAGCAGUGAAUACUCUCCACCCAGCCCUUGACCCAUUGUCAGUCUCUGGCAUCAGAUCCUCUCCAGCAGGGCAAAGUGCAACUGCAGCCAGCUCAUGCCUUCAAGAGAAGGACUGAAGAUCAUUGUGUGCCUGAACCAAGAAGAUACCAUAUGAAGAUGAAAGCAGACAUUACAGUGGUGCAUCAUCUGCAAGCCAAGGAACACCAAAGAUUCCCACCAAGUCACCAGAAGCCAGGGACAGGCAUGGAACAGAUUCUUUCUCACAGCGUUCAGAAGGAGCCAACCCUGCCGACACCUUAAUCUCAGACUUCCAGCCUCUAGAACUGUGAGACGAUCCACUUCUGUUGUUCAAGCCAACCACCUGUCGUGCUUUGUUAUGGCAGCCCUAGCCAGCUAAGACAACAGAUUGAUA
rnacentral:lncRNA from 1 species